rnacentral:rRNA from 1 species
UUCGCCUUCAUGAAGUCGGAAUUGCUAGUAAUGGCAGGUCAGCAUACUGCCGUGAAUACGUUCCCGGGCCUUGUACACACCGCCCGUCACACCAUGAGAGUUGGGAAUACCCGAAGCCUGUGAGCCAACAAACGAGGCAGCAGUCGAAGGUAGAAUCAAUGAUUGGGGUGAAGUCGUAACAAGGUAAC